rnacentral:miRNA from 1 species
UAGAACUAAUAAUGAGCUGGC